rnacentral:rRNA from 1 species
UACAGAGGUCUCAAGCGUUGUUCGGAUUCAUUGGGCGUAAAGGGCGCGUAGGCUGCGGGGCAAGUCGGGUGUGAAAUCUCAGAGCUCAACUCUGAAACUGCACUCGAUACUGCUUUGCUCGAGGACUGGAGAGGAGAUUGGAAUUCACGGUGUAGCAGUGAAAUGCGUAGAUAUCGUGAGGAAGACCAGUGGCGAAGGCGGAUCUCUGGACAGUUCCUGACGCUGAGGCGCGAAGGCCAGGGGAGCAAAACGGG